CUGGCUUUGGAUCCCAGUGCCACGAGGCCUUUCAGCAGAGCGUAUGUACCCGGCAGCUUCAUUGAGUUCAUUCUGCUGGAAGGGAUGGAAGAAGUGGACAUCCAAAUGCACCUUACACAGUGAUUUUCAUGCAAAACACACAGCUGUUCCCUGGGAAUUAGGACUUCGAUUUUCACUGAAGCAUCCAUGACCCCAUGGUGACAAAUCCAAUCAAGUUCCAGUGCUGCAAUCAAGCUAUAUUACUGCUGUGAUUCCGGUGUGUGUUCCCAUGUGCAAAGCCAUUACUGCAUCAUCUCCCUAACACUGCAUUGCAAGUUUUUCUUUUAAUCAUCAGGAGCACAGGGAUCUGGUUUGUUCCUUUUACAAUAUCAUAUGCAUGGGAGAGCACUGGGCGCUCCUGCUCCUCCAGAUAGGAGUCUGGGUAAUUUGCUUGCUCAUUGUUUGGAAAAGCACAGAAAUUCACCUUCAUUUUCUAAGAUUUUCUGUAGGAGCCUCAUGACAUAUUCCAAGGGCUGGUAGCAGGGGGACAGCUAUGAAUGUCACACCAGCUCCCUUUCAUAUAAGAAAUCCUUAAGCUAAUUUGAUCCAUAUAUUCAUGGUUUCAGGUUAGUUCUUAAUGCACGGUUAUUGCCUCACACUCUCAUCUUGAAAGGCAGAGAGGUACAAGAGUUCACAGCUUUUCCCACUGUUGUAUUUUUCCUCCUUUCCUACACGUCAACAUAAUUAAACCCCUUGUUUUUGAGGGAGUGCUCAGAUCCAGCACAGCUCCAACAAUCUGCCCACACCCGGGUGAAGGCUGCAGGAAAAUAUAUCAUCUCAAGGAUGGAAUUUUGUGCAACUAAAGUGAUGAGGCCCAGAAAAAACCCCAGCUCCUUGUGCUUGUCCUGUGAACAUGCAGGGAGGUCAGAAUGACAGGCAGUAGCUCCCAGCACCCUUCCACGCUUGGCCAUGAGGAUAAAAUACUCCUGAGCUGGUAAAAAGCCCGGCAGCCUCCUCCAGGUUAGAGCUAUCAAUCAUCUCCAGCACAAGCUCCACACAGUGUUUGCAGAGAAAUCCAAGAGCCCUAAACCAUCCCAGCCAGCUUUACUAAUUAUUUUCUCUUUUGCUUUUACAUGAGUGAAGUUACCUGAGCCACAGCUCAGGUGUGCUCACAUUUUCUAGAUGUGCCUUCUAAUUGGACUGGCUCAAAAUAAGCACCCAAAAAGCCCCAGGAAGACUCUUAAUUAUUCUGCAAAAUAAGGUUAUUCAAACUUUUCAAGUGGCUAUGUUCUAUUUUCUCUGCUCCACAAAUUCUGACUCAUUCAUAUAUAUUAUUUUCCUCCUUCCAACUAAGAGUUGUGUAUAAAUGGAAGAAGAGUUCAAAAAUGGCACCACUGCUGUUAGAGCAUGAGCAGACUAUACAAGCAGCACUUUUUUAAAAUACGUUUCUGGAGUGCCUAGAAACUCCAAUGAGGAGCAAGCCCUUACUAUGCUAAGUUGUACAGAAACACAGAAAAAGCCUUACUGCUGCCUCACAGACUUGUUUGUUCUUUUUACUCCAACAUCUUUACUCACUGCCAUACUGCUGCUGGCUGGGACGAUAGUUUUAGCCUCUCCUACAGUAGAGAGUAGAAAUUAGUAGGAAAAAAAUUGCUUUUAUAGUUACUGCUUGUAAAUGUAGUUACUAGUAGCUGUACUAGUUACAGUGACAACUAAUUGCUGAUAAAAACUAGACUUUCUGCCUUUUUUGAAGCUAGAAUCAGUUGUAAUGGUAUAAGAAAAGAAAGACCAAACAGACCUCUCAUUAUUAGGUGGAAGUUAUUGGAAUCUAUUACAUCAGAAGUUUAUAUUCAAGGUAUCAAUGGCUCAUGGUCCCAUUUCCCAAAAGUUUGUCAAAUGAGUAAUAAUGUACUUCAUCAUUAAACUUACAGCACAAAGCUAUAUCCUGCAGCAAAAUUAAAUCUAGCUUAAAUCAGUUUAUUUCUCCAUACCUUCCACUUUUGCAGGCUGAAAUGCUCUCUUAGUGCCUCCCUUUCUAAUCAGUGCCGUCAGCUGAAGCUUUCAAAUGUCACACAGCAUUUAGCCCAUGAUGGGGAUUAUUUCUUUCAAGUAUUUUAAGCACAAAUAAAACCAGCCAUGAUGCAAACGGCAUGAGUAAAGGGUGCAGUGUGCAAUCUGCAUUGCCUGGAACAGGCACGUGUCAGCUAAGCCCUUGGUGCUGUCAGGAAGCAAGUCUCAAACUGUUGGAUCAGGAUCUGCUCAUCCUCCAUGGGGCUGCCCAGGUGAUCAGCCCUGCUGGGUGCUCACUUGGGUUUCUCAGGGCAAAAGGAGUAGGCAGAGAGAUGAAGGAAUGCUAUUUUGGGCAGCAACCAUGAAAGAUGGCAUGACUGAGACAUGGCUCUUACAUCAACACUUUUAUCCCGUUUUACAAAGCACCUUCUCCUAACAACCCACCCAUACCAACAGCUGGGUUGUGUUUGAGCUCCGCGGCUGCUAUGUUCCUGCUGGAGCUUAAAUGUGCUUUGUAUCCAUCUCAGGGAGUAACAGGCCCCUCCCUGCUGCAGGUGUGAGCUGGUCCCUGCCUGUAGGAUGCUUGUUUGCAGUAGGGAAGGUCAUGCCUAUAGGGACACUGUCAGGAGGUAACAUCUUCCUUAGAAAGGCAUUGUGCUCCACUGGCUGCUGGAGCUCCUUUUCCAGAGCCUUCCCUAGCUCUGAAUUGUCUUCUGCAACAGUGUGCAAAUUCUGAAUGCCACAGACUCGUCACUUUUAUCUCUUUCUUUAAAAGUCAUCUUAGAAAUGAUGGCUGCACAUCCAUAUUAUUUGUUGGGACCCUUACUAAAUGUUUGCAUGACAUUAACCUACUGGCUCAUGUUUCAACCCCAAACAUGAACAUCAGCAACGUUGUUCCAGGCAAUAUCACAUGAAUCCUGCUGCUUUCUGGGAAAUUUAGGAAUGCACAUUUGAUUUCACUGCUGCUCUUGCUUCUACUACACAACACCUACCUUUUCACUUAAACUUCUCUGAUACAUGGAAUGAUUUUGGUGCAUGGAUACUGGAGGUGAAGAAAAUUCAGUCUUAAUAUGACAAAAACAACCCAAAGUGUAACAGUUCUAGCCCUACCAGAUGUGACAGACCAGGGAGAAUUAAAGAAAAUAUUUUUCCUUAAAAAAAAAAUAAAGUAUUCUCCUUCUGCAGCAUUUCAGAGCCAGGAUGGCACUAGGAACAAACAUCUGCUUCCAUUUUGAUUUUGGAUCAGGAUCCUCUCUGUAGGAGUUCAAAACAGGCAUCUGGAGUUGAUCCAAAGUCUGUUUGGAAAUCAGUGGGAGCCUUUACACCAUUUCUGGUGUGUGUUGGAGCAGCUCAUUGGCUCCCAAAGAACAAUUGUAAAGAUGAAGAACAUCCAAACUCUAACUCAGUUUUAUUGAUUCACAAACAACAUUUACUGUGCAAAAAUGUUUAUCAUGGCUUUUACUUCUUUAUCAGGGUUUUCCCAUAUCUUGACAUACUAAAUUACUGCUGGAAAACAGAGCAACAAGGACUGAAUCAACAGCUGCACUUUAGUGAUAAGGGAUCAAUUACCAAGUUGUGAGGGCUAUUGCUGUUCAGCGUCUGCUAACUAAACUAAACUUCUGUGGCUGUGAAGGCCUAACUCCAACUAGCCAUAGCAGUACUUCAUACCAUACAUUUAUGGAGUUUACUAUCAUCUCUUUAAUUCUGAUGCAGCAUUUGAAAAAGAGAGAAGGAAGAGUUAGUGUUUGCUGAUGCUCAGUAUGGCCCAGUGAAUAGCAACUGUUCCAACUUAGAUUGAACCAGUAAAUGAUCACUCAAAAACAUAAUUAAGUAUAUUUGCCAUACGUGCAACUGCGGGUUGGGGAGUUGCCUGUUCCUUCCAUGACAGACAAGUGCUAUGAAUAUGUUCCAGACAUCAAUCCAUACUCUCAGGUGUUGAGAUACUCAGGCAGAAGCAUGAAAACCCUGCUGUUGUUGCACAUUAGAAGAACAACAUGAAACCAGCAGUCUUGGUGAAAGUUGUAGAGAAACACUGCUCUUCAAGUGUAUUGGGUUUGUGUGGCCAGGCUUUGGUAUGGGGGGGCUACAGGGGUGGCUUCUGCUUCCUCCAUGUCCAGUAAAGCCAGGAUGGAGCUGUCGCUGGCCAAGGCUGGGCCAAUCAGGAAUGGUGGUGACACCUCAGGGAUAACAGAUUUAAGAAGAAAAAAAGUUAUUGCACAGUUGUAAUUGGGUCCAAGGCAGAGCAGGGUGAGGAUA